GAGAAAACGAGUGAAGGGUCGAGAGAGACCGAGAGGAGAAGAAGAAGAAGAAGAGUUCAAGCUAGAGUUCUCAACUUCUUCAAAUUCUCUUUUGAUUUAGAAUGGAAAAUACUCAAGGCUCAUUUAUGAAGGGAUAUGAUUUAUUGUAGCAAGAGCGUAAUAACAUUCUUGGUAUUGAAAGUGAGGAGGCAACGAGAAGAUCGAAACAAUGAUCAACUAUUACUUGAUUGAUGAAAAUGGAGAAAACUAGAGCUAAAA